AGCACCUAGAGUACAAGGGAAAACAUCGCUAAUUAUUCACAUGGUACCGCAGAGACAGAGUCCAGGACAGCUCUGAGAGGCUUUGAAGAGAGAUUUCUUGUGCAUAUUUCAGUCAGUCCAGUGACUGAUGGCAAAUGCUACUUUCUACAUGCCCCGCUUGCUUAGAAUUGUGUAAAUUUAAAAUAACUCCAUCCAUUCCAAUGGAUUUCCGGGGAGCCACUCCAUAUUUACACCUAUCUAAGUGAGACUAUCAUUUGGCCCUGAACUGUAAACAAUUCUGGGAACAUAAUUAAGUGAUCAAAGUUGGAAUCUGUCAGAAAAUGAAUUUAUCAAUUCUAAGCUUUCAGUCAAGGCAAAGCAGUUCCCAUCCGAAAUCCAAGUUAUUGUUCAGAUAGCCCAGAGGUAUUAGUCUUGUCAGUAGAGUUAAAAGAAAAAAAUAUAAUUUCUUCUGCUGCUGAUGAUGAUUAAAAAAAAACAAAAAACCUUUGACAGUUGCUAAUGUUCAAAGGUUCCCAUGAGUCAAAGGUUCUUGUUUUUCUUCCAGCAUUGACUGCUUUGCUUUGGUAAGAACAGACUUGAGUAAGAUUUUUCUCAGGAAGGAGGUGGUUCAGAUAAAAUGAACCUGCUAUGUGUGUUAUAGAACGGUAUUUAUCCCACUCUGCCUUAAACCUCCAAAACAACAAAAAUGGGUACUCUCUCUGCAAUGCUCUGGCUGCAAGGAAAGGCAUUGCUAUAUUACGGCUCAAAAAGGAAAGCUCUACAAUGGAGAUGUGAUUAAACAAUACAGCACAACCUGAAAUAGAUAUAAAGAAUGUUGGGUUGCUGCCGCUGAUAACGACACACCUGUGAGGCCUGCUCUGGCCAACCACAAGAAGAAGACACACCUGCCCACAAGAAGUCAAGAAAAGACAGGAUAACAAUCAAACCAAGCGUAAAGCAAUAUUUGACAGUUUUUUAAUGCAACUCAAUGGGAAGCUGCAAUACAACAUUAUCUGCACUGAUGGGAAGCCAAUAAAGCAGCAGCAGGCCAGGCCCUAUGCCCAGAAUUCCAAGAUGGCGCCAUUUAGAGGUGAGUGGCACAGCUGGCUUCUCUCUGGAUCAAAUUGACUUGUGUAUUUCAAAAUCUCUCUAAGAACAAAAAUCUCUAGCAUAGUCAUUAAAAAAAUUAUUUGCACGCCAAGCCACAAAAUGUACAUACUGAGUUUCCCAGCAAGCCACACCUCUUCUGAACCAUUCCCAAAUGCAAAAUUUUAGAUUUGCUACUCAGAUAGUCAUAGGUGGUGUUAUCACUGGUAUUCACAAGCUUCCUUUUCAAAUAGAAUGACGCAAACAUGCUCCUUCUUCAAUGUUGUUCUAUUCACUACCUGGAAAAUAGGAUAUCAGUAAAUGAUGUGUGCUAGGUUCUGGUCCUGGGUGACAGGUUUGUGCUGUGUUUGAGAGUGGUCUAUGCCUGAAGAAACUACUCCACAGCUUCCUUGUUUUAAUGAAAUGUCAGUUUAUUAGUCAAACAUAAAAAUGCAUGGGCUCAAGGGGCUGCUUUUUGAAUGGAAGUCUAAUUGGAAUGCACUCUUGAAAUGUUCAUUUAAUCUCAGAAGUGUGAUUAUGCUAUGGAACAGCCUGGAAACAUGGUUCUAUCCAAUUAUGCUUAGAAUUUCUGCAUUUACAGGUGUCUGAUACAGAUGGGUCCAAACUUCCCUUACAGAGCCAAAUGUUGAACCCAACAAAGGUCAGUGAUGUUUCUAGACCAUUACAGCGAUAGGCAAGCCACAAAAGUCAAAUUGGAAUAUGAGUUCAAAUUCCCCUUUCUAAAUGUGGAGGUUUCCAAGUCCAUCUCUAGUGUCAGAGAAGUGAGGGAUGUACAUGUUUGUUUGUUAAGAUGGCCCUUUCUGUUUUUCAAGAAGCAGUGUCUCCUUUUCAGAAAGUGUUUAUAUUAGAGGGGUCAAUGCAUUUGUCUCACUGAAUUUCAGAUCUAUUAGUUUGGCUGUCUGCAACUACAACAUAUUCCCUGCACCGAGUUGUACAUCAAUUAAGGAGCGUUACAUUUGCCAUAUAAGUCACUAAUUGCUCCUGUGAGAGGUCAUUCAGUGCCCUCAAAUACAUAUAUCUGGAAAGCACAUUAGGUUAGGAGAGUUCUAAGCAGUUUAAUCUUGUUGGGAUUAUUUACUAAUUUAUUAAACUAACAAACCUUCGUACUGAUCUCUAAUUGCCUUAUUAGAUUGUUCCAUCUGUGACCAAAUGUAGAGGGAACAUAAUAAUUUAGUGCAAUAAAUCAUCUCAUGCAUUUAAUAUCAGAUGGGUUUGUUCAGACUUAUAAAGGAGUGGAUGAUUUGGUGUGCAAUACAUAUGGCUUACUCCUGAAUCCAGUUCUGUUGUGUGAUGGCUCAACCUCAAGCUCUGUGUAUAUUCCAUUUGAUUCUCAUGUAUCUUAUGGACUCAGCUCAUCCUCCAGAAUACCAUGGAAGACACUGUUAGUAAUCUCAUUCCCUGUUUCAAGUGCUGGCUUUUUGGUGUGUUUGUUAUUUAUUAUGAGAUACAAUCGGUGCUUAAAGUGGUCUGAAAAAAGUGAGGGAUCUGUCAUAAUCUGGGAACAAUACCACAGGUAAGACGGUGCUUAAAGUACACCCCUCAGCGACCUAGCUUGAUUUUUUUUUUCUUUUGCCCAGGGAUGUGACAACUUGUAACUGCCCCUUCCCUCCACGUGCCCACUUUAAGCAGUGAAUAUGAAAGAUUGAGGUGGGUGCUAUAGUAAAGAUUAAUGAGGAACACAGAAAAAAGUUGCGCGGGGGAAACAAGGAAUGAUUCUAACUCCAGCUAGCAUUGAGGUUGUCCUAGAGGAAGAUUUGGUUAAUUUAGAAUUAAGGUUGCUAAAUUCAAUGACUAAUUAUGCAAUCCCUAAAAUAAUCCCUGGGAAAUCCUCAGUUACAUUCCUUCUCUCCCGGUAUAUGUCACUUCUGAUACUCUCCUACUCCCACUCACCACCUUCUACUUGUAGGCUUCUUUUGUCACAAAUGUGCAACCUUACUCUGAUCCUAAUGAGUAUAGACAAGUGAGUGCUGAGAUUUUUAUGGAAGGAAUAGUAGUUUCUGGGGCCUGGAAGACAGUUUCUGAUGGAACAUAUCUUGUCUUGGUGUGUUAGACCUGUGGUGGUAGACUGCGGGGGCUGGGGGGAAGGGGCGGUAUGAAAUUCCUAGGAAGAUGUAGGUAAAUAUGUAUAUGACAUUGUUCUUGUUUCAUCUUAGGAACCUGUUAUAAGAAAUUGAUACUGUUCGUAGGUGGUGGAUGAUUCUUGUGGCUCAAGUUAGGGUUGCACAUAUGAUAGUGAAGGACGAAGCCUUUGUGUUGCGGAUUAUGGGAGGGUGUAGAAGAAUAUGAGAAAUGACAUAUCCUGUAGAAAUACAAAUUUAAAAGUGCUGAUUUCGUUCCCCCACCUCCUUUCCCCUCCAAGAUAAGUCUGGCUACUGUUUUCUGGCCAGGAAAUAGAAAGUCCCAUAACUUUGUGUUAUAAGCAUAUCUGCUGCACUUGCAUUUGCAGGACAUGACAUGGACCCACUGUUUCGCUGGGAGCUGGUUGGAAGGUCCAUAAUAUUGAGAAUAUGAGAAGUGUUGUUUCUCACUGCUCUUCUUAAAAAUCUCCUGUCCUUUUUCUGGCUGAAGGCAGGGCAGAGGGGAUGGGGACAAACAAAACAAGAAUAAAUAGGUGAAGCAAAGAUGGGCUGUCUGAAUCCAAAUACUGGAAGAGUUAAACACAAACUGUACUUCAUAGCUUAGCUUACCAAAAAGAAUUGAGCACAAUUUAAGUAGUGAAUUACACUAUAAAGAACGUAGAAGAAAAAGCAAAAAGACGUAAUUCAGAGGUGAGUGGUCCAUAAAAACAGAAGAAAAUAACAGAGAGCUUCUAUACCAGACUCCAUUAAUUUAGCAUAUUGACACCAGAUUUUACUGUGCACAUUUGUCAUUCCCACCAGCAGCGCAAGGUUUCUCCAUCAAAGGCAUGAGCUAAUUCAGGUGGGUUGGACAUAUAGAAGAGUCUUUGCAUUCUCGUAAGAUCAACCUUUUGGCAACAGUUAAGGAAAACAGCAACCCACUUUGAGGCAAAUGAAGUAGAGUGUACUUUAAAAUCCACAAAGUCAAGGAUACAAAGUCAUAGGAAUAAAAGGAGGAAUAUACGGAGAGAGAACUUGUGUUCAGUGAGAUCUUUGCGAAUAUCAGCAGAGAUUCUGUAUCUUCAGGCACAAAACUAGUGUGUGAGACACAGUGACAGUAUGUGCUUGGAUUGAAAUCCAAGUCAAACAUAAAUUAUUGGGCUCAAUACGAGGGUAAGUGGGUGAAAUGUAAUGGCCUGUGAUAUAUAGGAGGUUGGAUUAGAUUAUCUAAUGAUCCCUCCUAUCUUUAAACUCUAUUAAUCUACGAAAUCACCAACAUUGUUUGCCUUAUGCUAGUAAAAUCCACUAAGAAUUUUGUUUUGAAAUAACCAUAUAGAUGCACUUUUCCUAUGCCUCAUUCUAUCUUCAGUUUUCUGUUGAUGCUAAUUAUAUUCUCUAGAUGUGGGAACUUCAAAACAGAAAAAGAUCGUCAGAUGGGGUUCUCCCAGCAUCUCGGGAUUCCAGCAAAUGUGUCAAGCAAAGCAGGAAAGAACAGGCUUUUAAAAAAAGUAACUGCUGUGUGGACUCUGAGUUAUUUAGUGUUUUAUAACUUGCAGAAUUUUGUCAGUAUUACUAAUGGAACAUGAAAUGCUA